AUACGGAGGGUGCAAGCGUUACUCGGAAUCACUGGGCGUAAAGCGCGCGCAGGCGGCUAUUUAAGUUGGAUGUGAAAGCCUACGGCUCAACCGUAGAACUGCAUCCAAAACUAUUUAGCUAGAGUGUGGGAGAGGAAGAUGGAAUUAGUUGUGUAGGGGUAAAAUCCGUAGAGAUAACUAGGAAUACCAAAAGCGAAGGCAAUCUUCUGGAACACUACUGACGCUGAAGCGCGAAAGCGUGGGGAGCAAACAGGAUUAGAAACCCUAGUAGUCC
rnacentral:rRNA from 1 species